UGAGCAAGAAAAGAAAAGCAUUUGUUUUAUGAUUAUUUUUAAUUAUUUUCUUUAAAAAAAACAAUGUUUAAAAUAUUAUCAGUGAUAGAAAAGAGGGACGAAAGAUACCAGAGGAACAGUCAAACUCAAAGAUAGAAAAUAAACUGACAACACUCUGGAUAAAAAUAAAAAGCCAAACAGACAAAUAAUAGUACAUAAAACUAAAGACUAAGCAACACGAAC
rnacentral:lncRNA from 1 species